UGCGGAUAGGGGGCAGGGUGGUGGGGGAGGACGUAGGGGGGAAUGGUGGGUCGGAUUUAUGGGGCGUAAGGGGAGGGCAGGUGGUUUGUUAAGUCGGAGGGGAAAGCCCACGGCUGAAGCGGGGAGGGGCAUGGGAAACUGGGAAACUUGAGUACAGAAGAGGAAUGUGGAACUCCAUGUGUAGCGGUGGAAUGCGUAGAUAUAUGGAAGAACACCAGUGGCGAAGGCGACAUUCUGGUCUGUUACUGACACUGAGGCUCGAAAGCGUGGGGAGCAAACAGGAUUAGAUACCCGGGUAGUC
rnacentral:rRNA from 1 species